rnacentral:rRNA from 1 species
UACAGGAGGUCUCAAGCGUUGUUCGGAUUCAUUGGGCGUAAAGGGUGCGUAGGUGGCAUGGUAAGUCGGAUGUGAAAUCCCGGGGCUCAACCCCGGAACUGCAUUCGAUACUGCUGCGCUAGAGUACUGGAGAGGAGAUUGGAAUUUACGGUGUAAGCAGUGAAAUGCGUAGAUAAUCGUAAGGAAGACCAGUGGCGAAGGCGGAUCUCUGGACAGUUACUGACACUGAGCACGAAGGCCAGGGGAGCAAACGGG